AGGGAGUAUUGGGCCAGACCAGAUCCUGCAGGAGCACCUUCAGAUGGACCGUAUCGGAAACCAGUGGAAGGUUUGAAGCUGGAGAGCGGCACACACGGUCAGGCAGCCAGGGAGUCCUGUGGAGCUCACCUUGGUUAUCCAGAAAGACUCCCAGAGGCAGAGGAAGCGGCCAGAACUCACCAUAGGCAAAGACCUCUCUGGCUGCACGGGGUCCCUGAGGUCAGCAUCCCCCCUGCACUCCAGCUUCCCUGCCUCUCUGCCCUCCCCCAGCCUGCCCAGCAGGACAGGGCAAAGCUGUGUCCCCAGGCUCUUUCACAGAGGGGACCUGGCAGCUCCUGGCACCCCCUCGGCUGUGCGAAGAGAAGGGCCCAGAGGUGUUGCAGAGGGAGCCUAGUCCUCGGGUGUCUGCCCUUUCUCCAGCCUCUCCUUUUUUUCUGUGUCCAGCGAUCCAUGGUGGGUCACAGUAGCAGGGUGGGUGGGAGCCUAUAGGAGCCCCCAGCACCCUAGUCUGGCCCCACAGCUGCUUGAGUCUCCCAUUUGAAGGAUCUGUUCUCCACUGGGGAGGGAGUUGAGGUCACUAGCCAGCUAAGAGUCAGCCAGGUGACCCUUGGAGGCUGGAGGCUCCCAGGUGCCCCCUGCACUGGCUUUUCUGGGGGGCAAAGAAAUUCCAGUGCUGUUCAAGCCCUCAGACUUUGCUCUCAAGUCUUUUCUUUAUUACAAUGAUACAGGCUCCCUGUAUAAAAUAUGAAAAAUACAGAAAAAUAUAAAGAAUCAAAAACAAUUACUGAGGAUCCAUUACCUAGAAGCAACCACGAGUAAAACUUUGCCAUAUUGUCUUCCAGUCUUCUCUGCGGUUUCAUUUCUUGUACAUGGUUGAGUUCAUACUGUACUGGGUUUUGUUUGGGGGGGGGGGCACACCUGUAGCAUGCAGAAGUUCCCAGGCCAGGGAUUGAACCUGUUCCACAGCAGUAACCAGAGCCACAGAAGUGACAACGCCCAAUCCUUAACCCACUGAGCCAGCAGGGAACUCCUCAUACUGUGUUCCUGGUUUUGUGCCAUGCUUGCUUCUCUUAACAGUAAGUGAUAAGCCAUUCUGUGUGAUAUUAAACACUUUGGAAUGUUUUAGAGACCAGAUGUGAUGAUGAAUUUUCACCUAUGUGUCAGCUUGAACGGCCGUGGCUGCCCGGGUUAAACAGUAUUUGUGGGUGGGUCUGGAAGGUGUUUCUGGAUGUGAUGAGCCCUGGAAUCGGUGAACUGAGUAAAGGAGCAGCUUCCCCGUGUGGGCGGGUUUCAUCCAUCCACUGAGGGCUUGAAUAGAACAAAAGAUGGGAGAAAGGGAAAUUGACCCUUUUCUGCCUUACUACUCCAGCUAGGCCAUCUUAUUACAUCCUCUCCUACCCUCAGCCUGGGAUUUACACCACUCCCCUAGUUCUCAACCUUUGGGCUGGAUUCCCACCAGCUUUCAUGGGCCUCUACCUUGCAGACUAUAGGUUGUGGGAUGUCUCUGCCUCCAUGAUUGCAUGAGUCAAUUCUCUAUAGUAAAUCUCAAUGAUAGAUGGGUAGGUCCAUCCACCCCUCCCCUGGAGAACCCGGACUAAUACGAAAGCUGUCACUGAGCCAUCUGAUAUACAGCAAAGGAGACAGACGUCCCACCUCUUAGUGGAUAGAGUAGCAAAGAAUUUGCAGCCGUCUUGAACCCACCACGGCAGGUCCAGUGCAGCCUCUGGUGCACCACUGGGUUUCCAGAGAGCCAGAACCAAGAGAAGAUGCAGUUACAGACAUAGAUACAAAUACAGUUACAGUUGCUAUCUCAUUUAUACUCACUGUAAGGAAUGGGCUGGUGCCAUUAUGGAGGCUGAGAAGUCCACGACCUGAAGCUAGCCAGCUGGAGAGCCCGUGAAGUUCCAGUCCAAAGGCAGGAGAAGACUGAUGCUCCAGCUCAAAGACAGCCAGGCAGAGAAAAAAAGCCUUCAUCACUCAGCCAUUUAGUUUAUGCCCACUUUCAACAGACCGCAUGAGGCCCACCCACAUGGGGGGGGGACAUCUGCUUGCCUCAGUCUGCUUGGACCCAAGUGUUUAUCUCAUCCAGAAACACCCUCACAGACAUACCCUGAGUCAUUUUUAACCAGGUGUCUGGAUGCCCCAUGACUCAGUCAGAUUGAUGAAUAAAUUGAAGCCCCGUGCCUCCUUCUAGAGGGAGGCAUUUGGUUCCUUGCUGGCUGUGUUGUCUCUCCAGGAACUGUGCCCCCCUCAAAGUCACACACCCCGAAAGUGCAGCCCCUUCCCAAUGACUUGUGGGUGUGGGGGUUACCAGAGCCCAGCCACUUAGCUCAAUUUGGGACAGCUCCAAAGGGCCAUCACAGCUUUAGAUCUCCCUGGGGGAGCAGCUGAGUCUUCUGCUGUAACUGAAUUGCAGUCCGACCCUCUUCCCAGCCAGUCCUCCCCGCUCACUCCCUGAUGGUUCUGUUCUCAGGGUCCUCCCCAAUCAUUGGAGUGUCUCCCACCCGCCUGACAUAGUCAGAAGAGGGAGAGGCUCAGCUCUGACCGGGGCAAGGAGAGGUGUAGACAGACUCAGAAAUGUAACUGGAGCCUUCUGCAGGGCAGCAGAUUUGGGAGGCUGCAGUUUCAGGGAGAGGUGGAGGCCUGGGAUGGAGUGGUUAGAACGAGAGGAUCACGAGACAGGCAAAAACAAAAUAAGCAUUGACAUAACCAAUCCGAUAAUGUUAACAACUUGUCUCCAACAUUCACUGUUAUAAAUAACAAACAUUGCAAUAGGUGUCUUGGUUCUUAAAUUCUUCCACAGUGGUUCACAGCUCUGACCACUUUUUUUAGAACAGAUUUUUGAGUAAUGAAAUUAUGAAUUAAAGAGUAUCCAUUUUUUGGAGGUUACCAGAACUUUCCAAGGGCCCUAUUCUAGCAUACUUCUUCAGCCAAACUUCUACAUUUAUAAGAGACCUGAUUUAGGGAAAGUCAUUGAUUUAGCUGGAGAGUUAAUUAUUCAUUUGAACUGGUUUGUGCAAAAGGCUCCAGAGAGCCUACAAGAAUAAAUUGAAAAGCUAUUAGAACUAACAGGCGAAUUUAAUAAAGUGACUGCAUGCAAAAUUCAAUAGCUUCCUCAUCAACCAGCAAUAACCAAUUAGAAGAUACAAUGAGGGUGGGUGGAUGUGGGGGGCAAAGAGCAGUCACAAUAACAAUAACAGUAAUGAAAUACCCAGAAUUGACUUUACUAACUAGUGUGGGAAACAGGAAAACUGGGUCUUAAACAUUUAUAAACUUUUCUAACACACAUGAAAUAAUUAAUUAGAUGGAAAGGCAUGCCAUGUUCCUAUGUGGGAGAGUGAACGUAUCACAGGGUUUAACUAUAGAUUAAACACAGCCCAAAGAAAAGUCCAAGAUUUGUCGUUUUAUCGUUAAACAUGCCACAGUUAUUCCGUGUUGUUUUUUGGCUGUGCCAGAAGCUUACAGAAGUUCCUGGGCCAGGGAUCGAACCUGAGCCACAGCAGCGACCCAAGCCACUACAGUGACAAGAUCCUUAAGCUGCUGCACCACAAGGGAACUCCAAACACAGUCUAAAGGUUACUUAGAUGAAAUACAUAAGCAAGAGUACCUAAGAAAAAAAAUCAGAAGAUGAAUGAAGAGGAAUUUUGCCUCACCAGAUAUUAAAUAUACAGUGAAGCUAAAAUAAUGAAAGUGGUGUAGCCUUGAUGCAAGAUUUGGCAGACACGUCAGUGGGUCAUACUUACAAGCAGAAGUUAGCAUACGAGAAUCUAGUGGCCACUGAAGGUGGCAUCACAAUCCUAUCCGAAGGGGUGGCAUUAUUUGAUAAAUGAUAGAGACAAUCAGUUAACUAUCCAGGAAAAAAAAUUAUACUUUCUUUUCACAUGACAUAUCCGAAUAAACAAAUUCCAGGUGAUGAAAGAAUUAAAUGAUAUGGGUUGAACUGUAUCCCUUGCCAGCAUAUCUAUGCAUAAACACACACACACACACACGCACACGCACACGCGUGCACACACAACUUAACUCCCAGCACCUCAAGACAUGACCUUGUUUGGAAGACGGGGGGGUCACUCACUGCAUAUGUAAUAACUAAGAUAAGGUCAUUGACACAUAUCCUUAUAAGAGGACAG
rnacentral:lncRNA from 9 species